rnacentral:rRNA from 1 species
GACGAACGCUGGCGGCAUGCCUAAUACAUGCAAGUCGAACGCUGAAGCACUCUGCUUGCAGAGUGCGGAUGAGUGGCGAACGGGUGAGUAACACGUGGGAAAUCUGCCUAGGAGUGGGGGAUAACAUUCGGAAACGGAUGCUAAUACCGCAUAUCUUUUUGAACCGCAUGGUUCUUAAACGAAAGACGGCUUCGGCUGUCGCUCUUAGAUGAUCCCGCGGCGUAUUAGUUAGUUGGUGGGGUAAAGGCCUACCAAGACCAUGAUACGUAGCCGACCUGAGAGGGUGAUCGGCCACACUGGGACUGAGACACGGCCCAGACUCCUACGGGAGGCAGCAGUAGGGAAUCUUCCACAAUGGGUGAAAACCUGAUGGAGCAAUGCCGCGUGAAUGAAGAAGGCCUUCGGAUCGUAAAGUUCUGUUAUUAGAGAAGAACAAGUCAAGGAGUAACUAGUCUUGACUUUGACGGUACCUAACCAGAAAGUCACGGCUAACUACGUG